rnacentral:RNase_P_RNA from 1 species
AAUCCAGACCGGCUUAUCGCGUCCGAUUCAUCGGGCGAGGAAAGUCCGGGCAGCACAGAGCACCCUACUUCCUAACGGGAAGGCGGACGACUGGGAACGGCCGUUCGACAGACAGGGCAACAGAAAACAUACCGCCAAUUUUAAUGGCGAACGAGUGAAUGGUGAAUGAGUGAAUAGCCAUCCGGCAUACAAAGUUUGCGCCAGCUAUUCGCUCAUUCACGCUUUCGCUCAUUCACUCUUUAAAUCUGGUAAGGGCGAACCGGUGGGGUAAGAGCCUACCGCCCGGUGGGUGACCAGCGGGGCACGGCAACCCUUAGGGGCUGAAAGACCAAAUAAGCGUCGGACGCGCGGCUGCUCGUCGCCAGCGGCCCGAAAGGACCAACACCGACGCGGGUAGGUCGAACGAGGUGUCGGGUGACCGGCAUCCCAGAUAAAUGAUAAGCCAGCCAGCGCAAGCGGGUGGACAGAACCCGGCUUACAGGUCUGGAUUGGGC